rnacentral:tRNA from 1 species
AGUUACAUGGUUACAUGGUUGGUAAAGCACUUGUCUAGAGAAUAAGGGUCGUGAGUUCAAAUCUCACCUGAGCUG